ACAACAUGAAUAUAGUCACGUACCUGAAAGGAGAUGAGUAUCAUUAAGAUGACUAGACAUUAAAGAAUGGGUUAACAACAUACUCUUCCUAAAGAAGUUAAUUAAUAUAUAAUAUACACAAACCAAUUACAAAAUAAUGGUGAUGAUAGAUUCCAUAAAGCAACACAAAUAUAUAUAUCCAUCUUGUAGAAUAACAUAAUGACUGUGCUGAAGCUAGAAAACUACCAACCCCUGUUUUUAACCAGCUUCAUUUACAAUAGACAUUGAGAUGAACACUACCUAGAAUGCAUAUUUUACUACAGGACGACCAGUUGCGGUUUCAGAUACAAUCUUAAUCACAUUAUUGACAAUUACUUUUUAAUUUUUUUUAACUUUAUUUUUUCUUCUGAACACCAAACUGUGCCUGACAAGUUCAAAUCCCUCCAACCUUAAAGGGGACAUAUUGACCACAGAAUUUAAUAAAACAAUAUAUGUUUUGCCCAACAGACAAACUUCCAGAUAUAUGAACAGAAUAUAUAAAUUUAACAAGGGCCUCAUACUGGCAAUGACAGCAUACCCCGGUACCAUCUUUGGUUGU
rnacentral:misc_RNA from 1 species